rnacentral:rRNA from 1 species
UACGAAGGGGGCUAGCGUUGUUCGGAAUUACUGGGCGUAAAGGGCGCGUAGGUGGCCAACUAAGUCAGACGUGAAAUCCCUCGGCUUAACCGGGGAACUGCGUCUGAUACUGGAUGGCUUGAGUUUGGGAGAGGGACGCGGAAUUCCUGGUGUAGCGGUGAAAUGCGUAGAUAUCAGGAGGAACACCGGUGGUGUAGACGGCUUUCUGGACCGUAACUGACGCUGAGACACGAAAGCGUGGGUAGCAAACAGG